UGAAGCCCAAAUGACGACAGUGCAGUGCUAUUGAUACAAUGAACAACUUGUUGUCAUUUUUCGUUAGAAUCUUAGCUUGUUAGCUACGCUUGCUAUAGGUACCUAGCUAGCUACUGUAGCCAGCUAACUAAAUUAGCUCUCUGUUCUCGUCCUCGCUUGCAAACAAGCUGCUAAGCUUAGCUAGUUCUCUCUUUGGCUGAGUUUAGCUCACUUGUAGGUUUGUCAGCAGUUAGCAAACAUUGCUUGUUAGCUAGAGGGUGUGGAGAGAGGAGAGGAGGUUAUCUUGUUGCCACGCAACUGUAUGCCCUCCUGUCUUCAACACCUGUGGAAAGGUGACCCCCUGCCUGACCUGUGACAAGUCACAUCAUCAUCAGAGAGUGGCACCAGCAUGGCAGGGCUGGCGUUGGAGUGGAGGGGCUGACGCCAAGCUCUCACCCUCCUGACACAUUGUUUUGAAAGCCCUCGACACUAGAACGAGACAGGGAGGAAAAGCAUUAGAGGGAGAGGGAGAGGGAGACAGAGGAAGGAGAUAGAGGGGGAAGAAGGGAGGAGAGGAGAGAGAUUAAGCCUCAUCAAAAGAAACAGCAGUUCUCUUCACCAUGCCUUACCAUGCCAAUAAAGCUCAUUGAAUGGAAUGGAGUCGACAAAACUCACAUCAGUAUAUUCAA